CAAUCAAGAUUUUGAAUAGCUUUUGUUGAAAAGGGCCAAUAUCGUAUGAACUGCUCAUCGAUGCUGCUGUCGACAUUGUUGAACAGAGCAACCGCCAGUUUCAUGUUCUGGUGAUUGGCGCCGAUGGGCAUGUAAAGUUUAAAGUUUUUAAAUAGAGAAAACAGAGUAUGAAUGCUUAAUGAGAAGGCCACAUUCUGAAUGUGAAGGGACUGAGAUGUUUCGAUAUGGCCUAGGGGGAACUCAGACAACAAGAGAAAGCAACUAUUUCUUAACGUAAGCUCAUAUGCCGAUUGUUUUAGUAAGUGUUGGAGACGGGCCAUGGGCAGACAUGAGGAAGAUGGGUGACCUUAUCCCUAAGCGUGUCGAUCUUUCAGGUAUCAUCUCAUCUCCAAUUUCAGUUCCAUUUGUAUCCUUUUUCGAUCUUGAUCUGCUCUCUGCAAAGUUUCUGAAUUUCACAGAGAUCAUGAGAGAGGGACCAUCAGAGUUAGCCAAAGAAAGGGAACUUUCUCUUACUGAUCUAAUUUGUGAUUCAGAUGAAGAAUGGAUCCGAGGAGGGUAAAGAUGUUUUCAUCAUUCACUUCCAACUAAAAAUUUAUUAACAGUUCAAUGAACACUUUCUGUUUUAUGUUGCAGGGCAGAUGAGGAUGUACGUCAUUUCUGUAUUUUUGUGUUUAACACACUAAAGAAUUUACAAGCAUAAAUUAUGUGUAAGACUUUGUAGACUUCCUACGAGAACAAAAUUAUUAACUUCUAUUGUUGUCAAGAAAUAUGAUAUUAUCAGUUAUUUAAUAAUGAUCAUUUUUGAGCCGGUGCUAACUUUCUGUGGAGUGAAAUUAAAAAAUCAGUGGACUGCCUUGGCUUGAAUGCUUAUUGAGGGGAUUAAUAUUUGUUUCUAAUGAAUCGAUAGUCUCUGGAGCACAUGAAUUUUCUAAGCAUAGUGAUGGAGUUGGGAAUGAGCUGUAGCACCCGGUGUCUCAGUAUCUGCGAGAUAUCAGCAUGCAGCGGUAUGAAAACUUCUUCUUCUUUGGUUCUCUUAUCUCCAUCAGAAUAGUUAAAUUGUUUGAUGGAUUAUUUAGUUCUUUGUAAAUGGAAAACUUCAUGUGUCCGGCGACAAGAAGCAAUAUAAAUUUGCCAGCUGAUGUUUGACAAAAGAUGGCAUCACAACAACAUAAUUACAAAUUGUUGAUACUUUAGGGUGUUACUUGAUGACCUAUUAGUGGCUGAGGAUCUUGCCUCUGUAGAGACAACCUAUGAUGCUUCUCAUGCUGUUCGCUAUGAAGACGCUUUGUCCUGAACCUUUCAGAAACUUAAGAAACACAGGCAGGUGAAAUUUUGAUAGGUGUUGCAGUACCGUGAGGAUCCUGUCAAAGCUUUCGCCAUGCGAAACCAAUGGUCAUGAAAGUGGGAGUUGAAGUCGUCUUCAAGCUGGGUCUGUUUCCGCAGACACAGCAUCAGGACAGUUUAGCGGAAUCAUUUGUGAAUCCCACACUGGCAAAGCUUUUUACGAGACUUAUUAUAACUCGUGAUGUCUUAACUCUUGAAGAGCCGGCAUGCUUUGACCACGAACAUAUGUUUUUUCAUUGGGGUGUUCACACUACGUCUUAAUGUAUACUCCAUAAGUCCCUAAAACAAUUACUUCGAACCUAAUUUUUGAUUAUACGAAACAAAAAUAAUGAUAUUUUAAAAAGCUGUU